CCUCCUUCUGGCUGCAGUGGGGAAUAUUGGGCAAUGGGCGCAAGCCUGACCCAGCAACGCCGCGUGAAGGAAGAAGGCUUUCGGGUUGUAAACUUCUUUUCUCAGGGACGAAGCAAGUGACGGUACCUGAGGAAUAAGCCACGGCUAACUACGUGCCAGCAGCCGCGGUAAUACGGAGGUGGCAAGCGUUAACCGGAUUUACUGGGUGUAAAGGGCGUGUAGGCGGGGACGCAAGUCAGAUGUGAAAACCACGGGCUGAACCUGUGGCCUGCAUUUGAAACUGUGUUCCUUGAGUACUGGAGAGGCAGACGGAAUUCGUGGUGUAGCGGUGAAAUGCGUAGAUAUUAGGAGGAACACCAGUGGCGAAGGCGGUCUGCUGGACAGCAACUGACGCUGAGGCGCGAAAGCGUGGGGAGCAAACAGGAUUAGAUACCCUGGUAGUC
rnacentral:rRNA from 1 species